UGGAAACAUGACCAUGAAGUCCACUAGCUUU
rnacentral:piRNA from 1 species